GGCUGAUUAGCUCAGUUGGUUAGAGUGUGGUGCCAAUAACACCGAGGUCGCGGGUUUGAUCCCCGUUCUGUCC
rfam:Apaloderma vittatum contig58616, whole genome shotgun sequence.